rnacentral:lncRNA from 1 species
GAAUAGACUACAGGGGCCAAAGCUUUGAUUUAGAAACAAGAACUAGGUGAUUUGGUUGAGAAUUGAGAGAGUUAUGGGAUUUUUGGUGUGGGUGAGUUUGAGAGAGUAUGAGUGUUUGGGAGGGGAGGGAGAGUGAGGAAGAUGAAAAUCGAGGGUUGUGGGCUAGGUUUAGGGUCGUCCGGUUCGGUUUAGGUGGGAAGGGACCG